rnacentral:rRNA from 1 species
AUAAUGGGUCAGCGACUUAUAUUCUGUAGCAAGGUUAACCGAAUAGGGGAGCCGAAGGGAAACCGAGUCUUAACUGGGCGUUAAGUUGCAGGGUAUAGACCCGAAACCCGGUGAUCUAGCCAUGGGCAGGUUGAAGGUUGGGUAACACUAACUGGAGGACCGAACCGACUAAUGUUGAAAAAUUAGCGGAUGACUUGUGGCUGGGGGUGAAAGGCCAAUCAAACCGGGAGAUAGCUGGUUCUCCCCGAAAGCUAUUUAGGUAGCGCCUCGUGAAUUCAUCUCCGGGGGUAGAGCACUGUUUCGGCAAGGGGGUCAUCCCGACUUACCAACCCGAUGCAAACUGCGAAUACCGGAGAAUGUUAUCACGGGAGACACACGGCGGGUGCUAACGUCCGUCGUGAAGAGGGAAACAACCCAGACCGCCAGCUAAGGUCCCAAAGUCAUGGUUAAGUGGGAAACGAUGUGGGAAGGCCCAGACAGCCAGGAUGUUGGCUUAGAAGCAGCCAUCAUUUAAAGAAAGCGUAAUAGCUCACUGGUCGAGUCGGCCUGCGCGGAAGAUGUAACGGGGCUAAACCAUGCACCGAAGCUGCGGCAGCGACGCUGAUGCGUUGUUGGGUAGGGGAGCGUUCUGUAAGCCUGCGAAGGUGUGCUGUGAGGCAUGCUGGAGGUAUCAGAAGUGCGAAUGCUGACAUAAGUAACGAUAAAGCGGGUGAAAAGCCCGCUCGCCGGAAGACCAAGGGUUCCUGUCCAACGUUAAUCGGGGCAGGGUGAGUCGACCCCUAAGGCGAGGCCGAAAGGCGUAGUCGAUGGGAAACAGGUUAAUAUUCCUGUACUUGGUGUUACUGUGAAGGGGGGACGGAGAAGGCUAUGUUGGCCGGGCGACGGUUGUCCCGGUUUAAGCGUGUAGGCUGGUUUUCCAGGCAAAUCCGGAAAACUAAGGCUGAGGCGUGAUGACGAGGCACUACGGUGCUGAAGCAACAAAUGCCCUGCUUCCAGGAAAAGCCUCUAAGCAUCAGGUAACAUCAAAUCGUACCCCAAACCGACACAGGUGGUCAGGUAGAGAAUACCAAGGCGCUUGAGAGAACUCGGGUGAAGGAACUAGGCAAAAUGGUGCCGUAACUUCGGGAGAAGGCACGCUGAUAUGUAGGUGAAGUCCCUCGCGGAUGGAGCUGAAAUCAGUCGAAGAUACCAGCUGGCUGCAACUGUUUAUUAAAAACACAGCACUGUGCAAACACGAAAGUGGACGUAUACGGUGUGACGCCUGCCCGGUGCCGGAAGGUUAAUUGAUGGGGUCAGCGCAAGCGAAGCUCUUGAUCGAAGCCCCGGUAAACGGCGGCCGUAACUAUAACGGUCCUAAGGUAGCGAAAUUCCUUGUCGGGUAAGUUCCGACCUGCACGAAUGGCGUAAUGAUGGCCAGGCUGUCUCCACCCGAGACUCAGUGAAAUUGAACUCGCUGUGAAGAUGCAGUGUACCCGCGGCAAGACGGAAAGACCCCGUGAACCUUUACUAUAGCUUGACACUGAACAUUGAGCCUUGAUGUGUAGGAUAGGUGGGAGGCUUUGAAGUGUGGACGCCAGUCUGCAUGGAGCCGACCUUGAAAUACCACCCUUUAAUGUUUGAUGUUCUAACGUUGACCCGUAAUCCGGGUUGCGGACAGUGUCUGGUGGGUAGUUUGACUGGGGCGGUCUCCUCCUAAAGAGUAACGGAGGAGCACGAAGGUUGGCUAAUCCUGGUCGGACAUCAGGAGGUUAGUGCAAUGGCAUAAGCCAGCUUGACUGCGAGCGUGACGGCGCGAGCAGGUGCGAAAGCAGGUCAUAGUGAUCCGGUGGUUCUGAAUGGAAGGGCCAUCGCUCAACGGAUAAAAGGUACUCCGGGGAUAACAGGCUGAUACCGCCCAAGAGUUCAUAUCGACGGCGGUGUUUGGCACCUCGAUGUCGGCUCAUCACAUCCUGGGGCUGAAGUAGGUCCCAAGGGUAUGGCUGUUCGCCAUUUAAAGUGGUACGCGAGCUGGGUUUAGAACGUCGUGAGACAGUUCGGUCCCUAUCUGCCGUGGGCGCUGGAGAACUGAGGGGGGCUGCUCCUAGUACGAGAGGACCGGAGUGGACGCAUCACUGGU